CGUAGGGUGCGAGCGUUAAUCGGAAUUACUGGGCGUAAAGCGUGCGCAGGCGGUUUUGUAAGACAGGCGUGAAAUCCCCGGGCUCAACCUGGGAACUGCGCUUGUGACUGCACGGCUAGAGUACGGCAGAGGGGGGUGGAAUUCCACGUGUAGCAGUGAAAUGCGUAGAGAUGUGGAGGAACACCAAUGGCGAAGGCAGCCCCCUGGGUCGAUACUGACGCUCAUGCACGAAAGCGUGGGUAGCAAACAGGAUUAGAUACCCUGGUAGUCCACGCCCUAAACGAUGUCAACUAGGUGUUGGGAGGGUAAAACCUUUUAGUACCGGAGCUAACGCGUGAAGUUGACCGCCUGGGGAGUACGGCCGCAAGGUUA
rnacentral:rRNA from 1 species